UACGGAGGGAGCUAGCGUUGUUCGGAAUUACUGGGCGUAAAGCGCACGUAGGCGGCUUUGUAAGUUAGAGGUGAAAGCCUGGGGCUCAACCCCAGAAUUGCCUUUAAGACUGCAUCGCUUGAAUCCAGGAGAGGUGAGUGGAAUUCCGAGUGUAGAGGUGAAAAUUCGUAGAUAUUCGGAAGAACACCAGUGGCGAAGGGCGGCUCACUGGACUGGUAUUGACGCUGAGGUGGCGAAAAGCGUGGGGGAGCAAACAGG
rnacentral:rRNA from 1 species